UACCUACGUUGGGUAACAAUUUUAGUAAGAAGUAGAAGAAAGCCUAGAAAAACUGGGUGAAACCAGACUAUGGAAGACUUUGAAUUCUGAAGAUUUAGAGUUCGCAAGCAUUCCUGGGGAGUCAGGUUUUGAGCAGGAAAUGACAAUCGGCUUGAUUGAUGGGUGUGCAGGAAUGAUUUGGCAGGGAGGAGAUAGGCAGAGACCGAAAACCAGCAAAUCAGAAGACCGAGUCAUCCAAAGCAGGGAGGGCCUGGAGGCGAGGACCCAAUUCAUUUCCUUAUGCGCCUAUUGCAAGCAGGGCGCUGCUGGUGCAGUGAGGACCCGGCCCCUGUUGAGAGGGAGUUUUCAGUCUGGUGAGACGCUGGUCUCUACAGGCCUGUGGAGGAGCCUUUGCAAAAUCUUGUGAUCGCUUCUGACUUGCGCAGUUACUAAGGAAUUAGGCCCUCAUUUAUCAAGGGGAUUUAUUCCCUGCCUUCUAAAACUACUCUUCUGUUUAUGAGUCUGCUAAGGAAAGCAUCCCAGCCACUUAGACAUGAAAAAAAGCAAUUUAUCAUUGAAAAAAAGACAGGAACACUACUCCAGACAAGGCAAAGAAGAAAAUGCCAUGUUUUAAAGAGAUAACUGAAGAUAAUCUAGAGAGUGAUGGGGAGGUUAGCAGGACAAGAAACCAGUUGAGAGCUUGCUGUAGUAGUUAACACUUAACAACAGGCAGCGUGACCCCCUUAGUUACGAGGGCCAGAACUAAGCAGGAAAGAUGCUGUCCUUGGGGGCUGUUUCCACCACAACCUUCCUAUCACUGGCCUAGUACAGCUAGGGGAUGGUUCAGGGACUCGUUUGGAAUUGAAACUUGAACAGAGGUACUCAAAACACAAGAAACACCAUUUACUUCUUCAGACUUAGAGAUAAUGGUCCUACUGUCAAAUCAUCUCGUGUCCGAUUCCUCUCUUAAUUGGAGGAUGCUUGACCAGCCUUCACACUGAUUCUGUGAGCCCCUUGACCAGUCCUUGUUUUUGCUUUAGUUAGCCCAAACUGGUUGCUAGGGCUUAGAACAUAGAAACCCUAGUGGACACUGUAUGUGGACUCAGACCCACCCCAGGCUCGCAGACUCUGAAAGCCAAGGGUAGGGCCUUCGCAGACCGGGUGCAAGGGAGCCCCUGGGUGAGUCACUGCAUGUGACAGUCUGAGGGCCGACCGGGGGAGGGCUCGGAAGGGGAACUGGCGGCGUGGAGAUAAAGAUGUGAGAGUCGAAUAUGUGACAGUCGCUGUUGGGGGAAUUAAUACACUUCCAGAAGAAUCGAAGAGAGAAGAAACAAUAAAACUGAUAAUUAGUACAAUAAAAUACAAAGUUCGCUGUUUAUUACUAUUUUAAAUACUAUUUAAAUCUUCCCAUAAUGCAAUAUAGGGGAACAUACUUUUACUAAAUGCGAUUCUUGGUUAUCUGAAGUUCACAUUUUACUGGGCAUACUGUAUUUUAUGUGGCAGCCCUAUUUUGGAUGAACUUUGACUAAAUCAUGAUAAGAGAAUACAGAGGGACAGAUGGGUGCACUUGGGGAUUUGAUCCCGGGAGACGUUCACAGAGCAGCUGCUGUGGACGCUGCACAGUGUCAACGGAACCGUUGCUCAGCAGCGGUUAACGCUUGACAACUGGCAGCCUGACUCCCUGGGCCACACCAGUGGUGAUGCCUCCCUGCGGAGGCAGUGGCAACAGCAGGGUGCCAGUGCAGGUGACCACUUUGGUUUGCCCUCUGGGCAGAAGACUGGGAAAAACUGAAAUGACUUAGGGGUUCAGAUUAUACAAAGAAGCAGGUAAAACAAGAAGGUGAACCAUUUGCAGAGAAGACAGAAUCUGGUAUUUGGAAGAAUAGUUCUUGUGAUAAUGGGGUUGAAAAUCCAACUUCACAUUACAGAACUGGGGCUAAAUUGGAAGCGAAGAGCUCUGGAGACAGAGCGUCUGGUUCUGCAUUCUAGUUACGUGACCUGACGAUCUACCUCGCCUGCGCCUUAGCUCUUCAUCUGUAAAAUAGGGGUAAUGAUGGUGCUCACAGGGUUACUGGGAGAAUCAAGUCAGAUGAACCAUAUGAAGUACCGAGAACAGAGUGUCUGAUACACAAAGCUCUCCACUGUUUACUGUGUCUUGUUAUUUUAAAUACAACUUACCUGUAUCUAUAAUCAGUAAAUGUGCUUUAGAGAAUUUUAUUUCAAAGACAAAUAGCAAGUAUUCACUGUCUUUUCUGCCAUACCUAACAAAUGCUAUGUUUGGUAAAUACACAAUUAGCUACCUGUUGAAGUUGGGACUCACACCUUUACUAUUUAAGGUUGUUUUCUUUACUAUUAUUACAAGAAAAUAAUUAUCAUGCUCAAGUCAUAUUUGUCUCCUCACUUCCCCCUAGGUGGCCGUGCUUUGGGAUUGUCCCAGCCUGAGCAGUCCCUCUGGGCUCUGCCACCCAGCGAGAGGCCCAGAGCCCUCCAGGGGACGGAGGCUCGGGGAACAGAGCGGCCUGCUCUCACGGGGUCUGCGCCCUGACCUGGCUGCUGGUGGGGGCUGUCAUGUUGCUUUAGUCAUUUCUUCCAUCUUACACAGUUGUCCAUAGACAUUUUUGGAAAGUGAAUAUUUUAUGAGGAUGUUCUGUUUAUACAGAGAAAAAUUAAAACUAUUUUAAAGUAAUUUCUCAUGUCUUAUAUUUUUCUCUUACAAAAUAAAUGAAAGUAUUAAUCGAUGUUGUCUGGAUAGAAAAUGAAGACCAAGGAAAUAGCUAUGCUCUUAAUGUUUCAAAAUCAGGAAGCAGAAUGGGAUCACCGAGUAAGUCACGCAUGUUCACAGCCUUGCCUGGUGUGAUCGCAUACCACACAAACACAUCGCUCUCUAGUCAGGAGGGUACGGGGACAUUCAACGUGGGCCUUGCCCUUGUGGAGACCUUUUUGUUUAAAGAAUAGCGCGGCAGAAGACCACACAGCAGCAGAUGACAGGAAACAUCCCCGGCGCCUCCCCCACCCUCACUCGUGUCCUUUGUUCUCUAAGGGCGUCUGUUGUAACGAUCACUCUAAGACUCAGAGGUGCGGAGCAGAAGGCAUAUCAUAUUUCAUUUAUUAUUUUGUCUGCUGUAAUUACUGCUCUCUUUUAUAUCAUGCCAUUGUAGGUUUUUUAAAUACUUUGUUUAUAAAAGAUGUGAAAGGAUGCUACAGAAAAUUUACUAGCUGACUGUAGACAUCUGAAAAGUAAAUGUUUUAACUCUGCAUUUAAUAAAAUUUUACCUUGGGAAACCAGACUUUUAUUAAGGCACGUCGUCUUAAAGAGAAAAAUGUACUAAAAAGAGAGGCUUUAAAAGAUGAGUGUUAUUUUCACUUUUUACGUUAAUUGCAAUGGGUGUUUUUUAAAUGUCAUACUUUUGAAAGGCAUUUGAAGGACAUUCUCAAUUAUGAACAACAGUGAUGUAGAUUUUGAAGGUUUCAAAAUAGGUCCAUUAUUUCAAAUGUUUCCAACAUUUUUUGCUGUCUAUGUUAUUUAUGAAUGCAAUUCAAGUUUUUACCUAAUAUUAGGGGUUCUUAUAGUACCUUCCAGUGUUGCCUAGGCUGAUCCUUUGUGGAUUCUGAAAAUUUAUGUUUGAAGUGUUUUUUUAAACCCUUUUUAUUAUGAAAAAUUUUAAACAUGUACAAAAGUAGAGCACAUAGUAUGAUGAACCCCCAUGUUAUAUUUGAACUUUAAGUGUUAUGUUAGUGCUAUUAAUGCAACAGAUGUUCAGGAACUCAAAAAAUGCUCAUGGCUUAAUGUACACUUAAAAGAAUUUGUGGAGAUCAAAUUUUUAAAAAUAUCUAACCAUUUCCCAACCUCUGACAGACUGUAUCUCAAAUCUGUGGUGGUCUGCCAAUUUUUGGACCUACAAUUGUGUUUCUAAUAGAAAUACUCUUAACAUGACUGUUAGCUUUUGAGGCCAAUCAUCAGUAACUUAUUACAGUCCACAGUUAAGGGAAACCCAUGUACCACUUUUAACACCAUGUCAAUGAGAAAAUCCCUCCUUUGCAAUUGGAAAACCAGGUAACAGCCACCACCCAUCUUCUUCUGAAUUUCAGGGACAGGCGAGUGGAUCGUCCGGCUCUCCUAUGACAGAGAUGCAGGGCCAUGUGGGUCCUUAAUUUUCCCAGUGAAACUAGCAGGAGCUCAGAGAAGACAGUAAGGGGAUGUACUCUGUACAUACCAUUCUGAGCUAUUUAUCAUUUCCCUCUGCUUGUGGAGUUUGUUUUUGUGUUUUUCUUUAAAAGGCCUUUUUAUUUAAAAAAAUUAAGGAAAAAGGAAAGCUCCUUUAUAAAACAAAUACUCUGUCAUAUCUUAAGUUUACAUUUCAUAGACUUUUAGAAGUAGAUUCUGAUUAUUUUCUUUGAGCACAUUUGUGACAUAGGGGGAACAUUAUCUUCAUGGCUGAGAUAUGCCCAGAAUGACAAAGCAACCCCUGACUACUAGGGCAUGAAAUUGGAACAUAAACAUAAAUACUAGAUCACCAAUAAGCUGAAACCAGGUUGCUGGAAUAGUGUUUCAAGUGAACCCGUCAGUUGCAUCGACCUUUCAGAGAGCCGAGGAAUGGCCAGUGAGAGCAGAGAGAAUGUGUGUGCAAGGGGUGACUUGACAGCAGGCUCCAAAGCCAGCUGCCCUCGCUGUCCAGGGGGAGGAAUGCCAGCACCCUAUGACAAAAGAACCACAUGUACUUUGUGAUGAGUGAGUGCACCGAAGGUCCCCCAGCUUGAUGUACUGUGCUUCACUACCGACCCACGAUCCCAGUAGGUACAGAGGAGCCUACUGUGCGUUAAGUACUUCAUAUAUGUUACCAUAUUCAUUCUUACAGUGGCCCGGAAGGGCGGCGAUACUGUCUUCAUUUUCUAGACGAGGUUUCCUGAGAACACCAGUGAUGGAGCUAGUGAAUGGGCAAAGGGCGUUCCACCCUGCAGGGAGGGAAAUGAGCCCAGUUCCCUGGCGCGAAGCUGCCUACUAGACUGGCUGAAGGGAGAAACCUGCAGAGGCCUUCUCUGCAGUUGGCUUCCUGCUCACCUGCAGCUCUGAGAGCUGGGCGCCUCCACCUGUGGGAUGGGGCCCUGCAGCUCCCAGAGCUGGCUCACGUCCUCAACACGCCCCAGCGCAGGGUUAGCUGUCCCUUCCCCGCCCUUCUCAAGUCUCGGGUGACGCUCUGCAGCCUCCACAAGGCUCCUGCAGCUAGACGCCCAGUCACCUCUGACCCAGACGAGGAAUCGAGCUCGAUAGGAAGCCACUUCUCCGCAAGAACCCGUCCCACGUGAAGGCCCUCCCUGCCUGCAGAGGACAGGUUCCCUGCCAACCGGCGACACUGGAAAGAGCCCGUGAAGACCACGGCUCGAGAGGAACGGAGCCAACACCCAAGGAGCGGCGGUUGUCAGGUGAUGCUAAGGAGCCUCCAGGUGCACAGAAGUUCCUUCUCCGAGGACUUCAGAGACAGCUUUUGCUAGAUCUCUGAACUCCUAACCGCUGAUGAGGAAGAGUCCAAAUUCAAGUUAGCAGGCUCAGAAAUUCCCCGAAUCGCUUAGGACAGUUCUCAAAGUAUCAGCUUUAGCAAUUUUAGAACUUGUUAAAAAUGCCGAUUUGGGGCCCCAUCCCAGACACACUAAAUCAGAGGUGUGGUCCUGGAAUGAGCUCCAACAAGCCCCCCUUGUGAUCCUGACGUGCUCCGAAGUGUGAACAUCGCUGGCCUGGGGGCGGGGAGGGGGACCCUAGGUUCCCACCGACCUAUAAUGAACCUGCAGCGACUGCCUGGGGCUGACCUGCCCUCCCCCAGCGGCCCCCAGCCAGUGCCGGGGUAGGUGCCUCUCCUGCCCAGGACUACUGCCUAGUUGCUUGUUUUUUUCCUUGAAAACUCCUAGGAAUUUUUGGGCAGAUACCCGAUGAUUAGUAGUAAUGGAGUUGAAAUUUUUAAAUUCAUUGUUUUUGAUAGAGGAAUUGCAAAUAAAUGUCCAUUAAUAGGAAUUUGAUUAAAAACAUUCUAUUAGGACUGGACCAACACUGACCAACACUAUCUUGUCUGCAUUCUUACUGCCCAGCACUAUGCUAGCAGUAUUUGUUGACUGAACGAAUAGAUGACUAUACAGCCUUACAUUCAAGUCCUGAAAAGUUUUCUAACAGCAAUCCCACUCCCCCGCAUUUACCC